rnacentral:tRNA from 1 species
GGGGAUGUGCCCACGGCGGGCACGCGGUCUUCUAAACCGCUGAUCCUGGGUUCGACUCCCAGCAUCUCCAC